AGAAAACAUCUCAAAUUUGAUAUAGACACACACACACACACAGGUUCCUCACAAUAGUCCUAUGAACAAGCAAUAUUGUUCCUAUUUUUUAAAUAAGGAAACAAAGACACAGAUAAUAAAUAUGUUUUCAUGCAGCUGAUGUGUCAGUUUUAUUUUGCUCUAUUACCAGUUACCAACAUAUUACAACUUACAAGUGUCUUCAAACAACACCUUUUUAUAAACACACAGACCUGUACAGUUCUAAAAUUCGGAAGCCCAGCAGAGCACCACUGGAUCUUUGGCCUGUGUAUCACCAGUCUGGAAUCAAGAGGACUCAUAAUGAUCACUGCUUAGAACUGAUGAUCUGCUGAACACACAAUAUUACUAAAGGUAAACGUCAGACCCCAGAGAGCUUCAGUUCAGGCCUAUAGAAACAAUGAUAUUAUAACAAUGAUAUGUAUCUACGUGUGGUGUUAAUAAUAGAUUCUGG
rnacentral:lncRNA from 13 species